CCUACGGGGGGCUGCAGUGGGGAAUAUUGGACAAUGGGGGGAACCCUGAUCCAGCCAUGCCGCGUGUGUGAAGAAGGCCCUCGGGUUGUAAAGCACUUUCAGUGAGGAAGAACGCCUGGUGGUUAAUACCCAUCAGGAAAGACAUCACUCACAGAAGAAGCACCGGCUAACUCCGUGCCAGCAGCCGCGGUAAUACGGAGGGUGCGAGCGUUAAUCGGAAUUACUGGGCGUAAAGCGCGCGUAGGUGGCUUGAUAAGCCGGUUGUGAAAGCCCCGGGCUCAACCUGGGAACGGCAUCCGGUACUGGCAAGCUAGAGUGCAGGAGAGGAAGGUAGAAUUCGCGGUGUAGCGGUGAAAUGCGUUGAGAUCGGGAGGAAUACCAGUGGCGAAGGCGGCCUUCUGGACUGACACUGACACUGAGGUGCGAAAGCGUGGGUAGCAAACAGGAUUAGAUACCCGAGUAGUC
rnacentral:rRNA from 1 species